rnacentral:rRNA from 1 species
UACGUAGGGUGCAAGCGUUGUCCGGAAUUAUUGGGCGUAAAGAGCGUGUAGGCGGCCCGACCAGUCCGCUGUGAAAGUCCAGGGCUCAACCCUGGAAUGCCGGUGGAUACUGUCGGGCUAGAGUCCGGAAGGGGCGAGUGGAAUUCCUGGUGUAGCGGUGGAAUGCGCAGAUAUCAGGAGGAACACCGAUGGCGAAGGCAGCUCGCUGGGACGGUACUGACGCUGAGGCGCGAAAGCUAGGGGAGCAAACAGG